rnacentral:rRNA from 1 species
GAUGAACGCUAGCGGCAGGCCUAAUACAUGCAAGUCGAGGGGUAGAGAAGAGCUUGCUUUUCUUGAGACCGGCGCACGGGUGCGUAACGCGUAUGCAACCUACCUUUAUCAGGGGGAUAGCCUCUCGAAAGAGAGAUUAACACCGCAUAAAAACACAGUACGGCAUCGUACAGUGUUCAAAUAUUUAUAGGAUAAAGAUGGGCAUGCGUGACAUUAGCUAGUUGGUGAGGUAGGGGCUAACCAAGGCGGCGAUGUCUAGGGGAUCUGAGAGGAUGCCCCCCCACACUGGUACUCAGACACUGACCAGACUCCAUAGGGGGGUAGCAGUUAGUAAUAUUGGUCAAUGGGUGCAACCCUGAACCAGCCAUGCCGAGUGCAGGAAGAAGGCCUUCGGGUUGUAAACCGCUUUUGUCAGGGAAGAAACGCUCUGGGUUAAUACCCUGGGGUAAUGACGGUACCUGAGGAAUAAGCACCGGCUAACUACGUGCCAGCCGCCGCCGUAACAC